rnacentral:rRNA from 1 species
GACGGGGGAUGCAACCGUUAUCCGGAAUCACUGGGCGUAAAGCGUCUGGAGGUGGUGAUGCAAGUCACUGGUGCAAAACUCUGGCUCAACAGGAGGAAAGCCAGUGAAACUGCAUGACUAGAGAGUGGGAGAGGUAGAAGGAAUUCCCUGAGUAGCGGUGAAAUGCGUAGAUACAGGGAAGAACACCGGAGGCGAAAGCGUUCUACUGGAACACAACUGACACUGAGAGACGAAAGCUAGGGGAGCGAAUGGG